GAGCUAUUUUUCGUUAAGCCGCUAACUUAAUUAAUAACAUAUAAGAAUGUUAAUAACUCU
rnacentral:tRNA from 1 species